CAUGAAGUCGGAAUUGCUAGUAAUCGCGGAUCAGCAUGCCGCGGUGAAUACGUUCCCGGGCCUUGUACACACCGCCCGUCACACCAUGGGAGCCGGUAAUACCCGAAGUCAGUAGUCCAACCACGUGAGGACGCUGCCGAAGGUAGGAUUGGCGACUGGGGUGAAGUCGUAACAAGGUAUC
rnacentral:rRNA from 1 species